GAAAUGCGAUAAGUAGUGUGAAUUGCAGAAUUCAGUGAAUCAUCGAAUCUUUGAACGCACAUUGCGCCCCUUGGUAUUCCAUGGGGCAUGCCUGUUCGAGCGUCAUUUGUACCCUCAAGCUCUGCUUGGUGUUGGGUGUUUGUCCCGUCUCCGCGCGUGGACUCGCCCCAAAGUGAUUGGCAGCCGGCGUACUGGUCCCCGGAGCGCAGCACAUGUCGCGCAAACGAGUGCCUUGGUACGGCGGCGUCCAUAAGCCCCUCUCUCACGCUCUUGACCUCGGAUCAGGUAGGGAUACCCGCUGAACUUAAGC
rnacentral:misc_RNA from 1 species